AACGAACGCUGGCGGCAUGCCUAACACAUGCAAGUCGAACGAGACCUUCGGGUCUAGUGGCGCACGGGUGCGUAACGCGUGGGAAUCUGCCCUUGGGUUUGGAAUAACAGCGAGAAAUUGCUGCUAAUACCGGAUGAUGACGUAAGUCCAAAGAUUUAUCGCCCAAGGAUGAGCCCGCGUAGGAUUAGCUAGUUGGUGAGGUAAAGGCUCACCAAGGCGACGAUCCUUAGCUGGUCUGAGAGGAUGAUCAGCCACACUGGGACUGAGACACGGCCCAGACUCCUACGGGAGGCAGCAGUGGGGAAUAUUGGACAAUGGGCGAAAGCCUGAUCCAGCAAUGCCGCGUGAGUGAUGAAGGCCUUAGGGUUGUAAAGGCUCUUUUACCCGGGAUGAUAAUGACAGUACCGGGAGAAUAAGACUCCGGCUAACUCCGUGCCAGCAGCCGCGGUAA
rnacentral:rRNA from 1 species